CAAACACCUAUCAAUAAAAACAUAAAUUUUUAGGUAUAAUCUUAGAUUCCAAGCUCACUUUUAUCCAUCACCUGAAACAUCUUAAAGAGAAAUGUCUCAAAACAAUGAACCUACUGAAACUUCUGUCCCGCACAUCCUGGGGAAGUGACAGGCGUUG
rnacentral:lncRNA from 1 species